rnacentral:piRNA from 1 species
UGAAGAUCAGCACAGCCUGAAGCCA